rnacentral:rRNA from 1 species
UACGUAGGGUGCGAGCGUUGUCCGGAAUUAUUGGGCGUAAAGGGCUCGUAGGCGGUUUGUCGCGUCGGGAGUGAAAUCCACUGGCUUAACUGGUGGCUUGCUUUCGAUACGGGCAGACUGGAGGUAUGCAGGGGAGAACGGAAUUCCUGGUGUAGCGGUGAAAUGCGCAGAUAUCCGAAGGAACAUCAGUGGCGAAAGCGGCUUCCUGGACCAGAACUGACGAUCAGGCUCGAAAGCGUGGGGAGCAAACAGG